UAACUCACUUCGGCAGCACAUAUAGUAAAAUUGGAACGAUACAGAGAAGAUUAGUAUUGCCCCUGUGCAAGGAUGACAUGCAAAUUUGUGAAGCGUUCCAUAAUUUU
rnacentral:snRNA from 1 species